rnacentral:rRNA from 1 species
CGACGAGAGAGGGAGAUGGCGGCUGACCUCCUCGUCUUUACCCCGCUCCCUCCCUCCACCAGCGUCUGCUUUGAUUACCUUCCGUUUCUGUCGUCGCGCAGCGAGAGGAGCACGCCAGCCGCGCGAUUGCGAGCUCCUCCCCCCUCCAUAAAUAGCGCCGGCUUGGCGGGCAGCGGCGGCGCCCGCCUCUACCGCAUUUCCAACGACGGCACAUCGGGAGGGAGAGAGAGGAGAUCCGCCGCGCGAGUAGAUUUCCUCGCCGCGCCCCGUUAAUUAGCGCGGCGCCCGUGUGAGAGUCCAAGAACUGGACGGAGGAGCCAGGUCCGCGAGAUGCAGAGCAUGGCGGCAUCCUCCUCGUCCUACUCCUCUGCAAGAGGCUGGGCGGCGGUGCGCCGUUGCCCCUCCCCUUCCCUGCCCGCGCGGCACGUCGCCUUCUCCUCCUCGUCCUCUUCCCGCUGCCCCGUCGCGGGCGCCGGCGCGCCCGUGCUGCCGCUCGGCAUUCGCGGGGGCCGCCUGCCGCUCCCCUGCCCCCUGCUCCCGCCCGGCGGCAAGAACGGCGCUUCCGCGAGAAGGGCGGCGGCGGCCGCCGCGCCGUCGGCGGAGGGAGACGGGAAGCCGGAGGCGGCCGGCAUUCCGCGGACGCUGCAGCUCGGCGCCAUGAUCCUCGUCUGGUACCUCCUCAACAUCUACUUCAACAUCUACAACAAGCUGGUUCUGAAAGCAGUGCCCUUCCCGUACACCAUCACCACCUUCCAGUUCGCAUCCGGCUCCUUCUUCAUCACUCUCAUGUGGCUGCUCAAUCUGCAUCCCAAGCCAAGGCUCUCCCUUCAACAGUACGCAAAGAUCCUGCCUUUGGCCUUAAUACACAUGAUGGGCAACGUCUUCACCAACAUGAGUUUGGGCAAGGUGGCCGUCUCCUUCACGCACACCAUCAAGGCCAUGGAGCCCUUCUUCUCUGUUCUGUUCUCAGUCUUGCUCCUCGGGCAGACACCUUCUUUACUGGUAGUAGGUUCUCUCGUGCCACUUGUCGGUGGAGUUGUGUUGGCAUCUAUGACUGAAGUUUCUUUCAACUGGAUUGGAUUUUGGAGUGCCAUGGCUUCUAAUGUUACAAAUCAGUCGCGAAAUGUUUUCAGCAAGAAACUUCUUGCUGACAAAGAGGAAACGUUGGACGAUAUAAAUCUCUUCUCAAUUAUGACUGUCAUGUCAUUUUUGUUGUCGGUCCCAUUAAUGCUAUAUUUAGAGGGCAUCAAGUUUAGCCCAUCAUACCUACAGAGCACUGGCGUAAAUCUUCAAGAACUUUGCGUGAAAGCAGCCAUUGCUGGCACUUGUUUCCAUUUUUAUCAACAGGUUUCAUAUAGUUUAUUGGCCAGAAUAUCACCUGUGACCCAUUCUGUUGCAAACUCUGUCAAACGGGUUGUUGUCAUCGUGUCAUCCGUUAUCUUCUUCAGAACUCCAAUUUCACCUAUAAAUGCCCUUGGAACUGGUCUGGCUCUGCUCGGUGUUUUCCUGUACUCUAGAUUCAAGAAGGCAAAACCAAAGGCAAAGGCUGCAUAAAGAUCGCUUAUAUAGCAACAAUUAGCUUCAGAAGGAUCAGGAUCAGGGGAAUGUACUGCUUUCACUGGUAGCAUACACUUGGCUUUCCCCCAGUUUGUCUCCACCAUGUUCUCUCAUCUUCUUAUUUGGCUGUUUGUACCUUGUAUAGAAGAUUUUUCUGAAGGUUGUGGUGGACCGACAAAGAAAUAGCACUGUCAAAACUCUUUUCAAGAGAACAAGAAUUUUGGCAUGUACUCCUGAAAGUUCUGAUGCAGAAUAUUAGCCUUUUUGCAGUGAUUCUCUUAACAUGUUGGUGCAACUUAUACCUCUGGUGCACUCUGCAUGCAACGUCGCUGUUGUUUCCAAGUCAAGUGCAUCCAGAUGCAUUAUUGGUCAGCUUCUAGCACAUUUUUUAUUCAUUUCAUAACUUAUGCUAAAUAUUAUUUAAGCACCGUAGUGCUAUAACGUUCAAGAUUCUAACUUCC